CCCAGAAUUCCUCUGGUGGAAUCUGAUAGCGGGGGGCUAGCUGGGCCAGAGGGUUACUGCUUUCCGCAUUAAAAAAAACAGGGAAAGGAGGCUUGGGCAGGGGAGGUUGAGGACUGUGUGUGAAAACCUGAAGAUCAAGGCUGUGCACAGCUGCUGUGGGGCUGGGAGCUUCCACCUGCUGCAGCAAAAUUCUUCAGCUGGGCCCUGGUCCUGGCCAGGCUCCUGCUUCCCAUGGUCAGAAGCCUCCCUCUAUCGACCAACAAUUCACUGUUCAAGAGAAGGAAGCUUUGAUUAGAAGCAAGAGGAGGAGCUGAUCUGCCAGGGCCUUCAAGCAAGAGCUGUGGAGAACUGAAUCAUCCAGGUCUAGCAUUCAGGGAUGACUGCAUAAUCUGGGCUGUACAAACGUAGUUGACAUUUAAAGUCACUCAGAACUACUAGGAGAAAUUUCCUGACCUGUUAUUUUAUAGUUACCUGGGGGAAGCACUCAGUAUACACUGAUAUGUACAAAUAGCCAUUUUGAUGGCUCCACAAAUAAAAGGCAAAAAAAAAAAAUCCAUUAAAUUCAAUAAAUAAA